UAGGGAAUCUUCCACAAUGGGCGAAAGCCUGGUGGAGCAACGCCGCGUGUGUGAUGAAGGGUUUCGGCUCGUAAAACACUGUUGUAAGAGAAGAAUGACAUUGAGAGUAACUGUUCAAUGUGUGACGGUAUCUUACCAGAAAGGAACGGCUAAAUACGUGCCAC
rnacentral:rRNA from 1 species